rnacentral:lncRNA from 10 species
CGCUUGUCCGAACCUCUUCGGGAGACUACUUCUCGCGGUAUCUGACUCCUAGGCUCCGCCCUCUGCACGCCGCUCACGGUAUCUGACGCUCAGGCUCCGCCCCCUGCAUGUCUUUGUUGGCAAACAGUUCUGGGGGUCGUCCGAUCCUGCAGAGACCGUCCAGGCUGGACUUGAACUCCUUCCUCGGCUGAAGUGAUCCUCCUGCCUCAGCGUCCUGAAUAGGAAGUGGAGCCAGAAUCCACAGAUGUCAUUAUCCAUCUGCACACUUUGUUUACUACCCAGAAGGCAAGAAUAUUGCAUUUUAAAAGUGCCCGGACUUUUGUUCUUUCUUAUCACAAAUGACUUGGGAAGCUCCGACCACUCAUGUUUACCCCGAGUGAAAGUCCCAUUCAAAGCCUUGCUUCCUGGAGAGCUUUGAGAUUCUGGUACAAAAGGCAUUUUAUAAGCACAAAGUGGAAAAGCAUCAUUCAUAUUCAUUUGCUGCUGCGGCAUUUCUCCCUGGAAUCUUCCUCUUGUCUGUCAACAUUGGGCAAAAGGACUGGCCUCAUCUACAUUACAGAUAUCCUUGUGAUGGUCUGGAGGUAGGAAAAGGACACCCAGCACAAGAGUGAGAAGGGAAACUCAAGCUCUCCUGUUGGAGAGUCUCAGGCUUCUUUAUCCAUAAAACUGAUUGGACAUAAUUGGUGUGGGUUUAUGAUUUGUUUUGGAAAAACCUGAGUAUGAAAUCAAUAGGACCUGUGGGAGAGGCGGCCAUCCAGAGGGCUCUCUGAGGGGUCAUUUAGAAUGCAACUCUUCUGGGCAGAGGAUGGUCUGCACUGGCCUCCACCACGCAGGAAGGCUUCCAGAGUGGAGAAAUGUCCACUAACAUGGCUUCUGUGAGGUGUGGGCAGCUCUUUUCUUGGUGUGGGGCUCUGUUUGGUGUGAUGUAAGAGGUAUCACAGGGCUUUCCUGUCCCAGAAGAUCUUAGUGGAUGACACCUAUGGGGGUUGCCAGCUGGAUUAGGUGAGGCAGAGCACACAGCUCUACCUAAGGGGUCCCAUUCUCAUCUGGGAAUAUUCUAGGACAUAGGACACUACCCAAGAGGCAGAGCCUGGAGUGGCAUUAUACGGGUGAAAGAUCUGAGUGCCAGGUCCAUAUAAAUGAGUGGGGUUGGGGGGAUCGAGGUGCUUAGAGAACAGGAGAGCUGCCACAGGAAGGGAUGGUACCCACAGGGAGGAAGAACCAUGUCUCAGAUUCCUUCCUUUAUACCUCUUCCUGGGACCUCCUUGGAGUCUGCAGAUCAGCUGGUGCUUCUCCAUCUCCUGUCAUCUUCUUCAAAUCUUUUCAUCACAAAAAAUUUUCAGUGUAAACCUAAGUAGAGAGAACAGUAAAAGGAACCCCCAGGGGCCGUCACCAUCACCCACCAUCAACAGCGAUCAAUGGGCCGUCUAAGUCCGUUUUCCCUACUUUCAUCCCCGCUCCAGAUUAUUAUCAAAAGUAGCUCAUCCCUAGUUAUAUUUCAUUUAAUCCUCUCAGUUGCAUUUUUUUCUGGCCACGUUCUUCUGUCUGUCAAUCAUGGUCUUAAGUCAGACAGUCUGCUGGGUUGGCUAGGAAAAGACUCUUUCUUUCUCAAGAAAGAGUUGUAAGUAAUUUUGAGAGAAAUGUUGCAGAUUGACCAAACAAGGUAUGCUUAAUUUAGUUCAAUUCAUCAGUUACUUAUUGAGUCCUAGGCUUAGUGCUGGAUUCAACAUAUCAGUCAAUCAUGGUUUCUGGCCUACAGGGUUCAGUGCUCUAGUUCUGGGUGUGCGACGAGGACCACAGCAAGUAUUCACUCAGGAAAGGCAGAAUGUGGCCACAGGGAAAGGAAAGGUACAAGGUGUGGUGGAGGUUACAAGGCAUGACAAACACACUGGGCUGGGAAUGGUAACAGUGGAAGAGGAUCAGGAAGGGUCGUGAAGCCUGAGGCAUUGGAGAGGGACUUGGAAACCUGGGCAGACAGUGGGACGGUGACUGCAAAACACUCAAGUGUGCAGGUGGGAAUGGCAGUGGGGGACAGGCGAGCCUAGCAGCGAGAACACAUGGUGCAAGGGGCCCCAUGGGGGUUCUGGGGUGGAGGAGGUAGGCAAUUGGGCUCUCAAAGAAACCCUUGGGCUUUUUCUAGCUUAAUAAUAAACAAUUAUUAUUUCUAAGGAAAAAGAAAACUGGAUUUCUAGAAGCAUGGCUAUUAAAAAAAAAACAACUCCAGACCCCAAUUAGGAAACUGAAAGGAAAUCAAAGUGGGCCUAAUGGAAAUUAGGUAGUAGGGGCAAUAAAAGAAAAUGCAGGUAGCUGCCUAAAAUCCAGUGGACUCCAGGUCCACCAGCCAGGCACCACAUUGUUUUAACCUAUAAAUGAAGUAUGUCCAUGACUCUCACUACAUAAAAUGGAAGUUAAGCCAUAGUCCUUUUCCAAUGUGAUCUGAAAAUGUACUGUUUUUGCCUCUAGCAAAGCAAAUAUAUAGACAGAAAAUUCCUAGCACUGCUUUCACGCGAGGGAUGACAAAGGUGACAGACUCGGGCAAAAUGUUCAUAUUCUAUACGUGAAAUGGAAUGGUAACUUGAUUUUUCAAAAGGAUAAGAUUCUUGUUACAAAUUUAAGCAUAUUUAUUAAAGAAAACUCAAAUUAGUAAAAUGUGAAAAGGCAAGGAAAUUCAUGGUCCCACUACCCAAAUAACAUUUUUUUUUCAGAAUUUUGGUGUCAUAUAAUGAUUUUGGAACACGCUUUUCAUACUGAAUGGCUUCAAUAUCUUAUCCCUGCUCUCUUCCACCGCCCCCCCCCCCCAAUUCAUUAUGAUUAUCAAUGAGUUUGGGGAAUUGUAUUGACUUUUUUUUUUUUUUUGAGACAGAGUCUCGCUCUGUCGCCCAGGCUGGAGUGCAGUGGCACGAUCUCGGCUCACUGCAAGCUCCACCUCCCGGGUUCACACCAUUCUCCUGCCUCAGCCUCCCAAGUAGCUGGGAUUACAGGCGCCUGCCACCAUGCUGGCUAAUUUUUUUGUAUUUUUAGUAGAGACGGGAUUUCACCAUGUUAGCCAGGAUGGUCUCGAUCUCCUGACCUCGUGAUCUGCCCGCCUCGGCCUCCCAAAGUGCUGGGAUUACAGGCGUGAGCCACCGCGCCCGGCCAGGGAAUCGUAUUGACUUUUUUAAGAGUCAAUUCUCUUUUGAACUCAGAUUUCAAAAGGGGUACAGGGAAUCAUCUCGAUAUAAGUGUUGAUAUAAAGUUUAUUCUCAGAUACUUGUGAAGCCAAAAACUCUGUGCUAACAUUUGCAGGCCUUUGGGAAAACUGUGCAUGGAGGUCUGAAUAGCAUAUGUCCAAAUAGUUGAAGUUUUUAUAAAUUAAGCUAACUCAUUAUUAAAGAAAAUCUGUUCUAGCCUCCUUCCUUGAUAAAUACACCUUCAUAACAGCUGCCCCUUGGAAGCUAUUAAAUAUGUUAUAUCCUCUUGCCUUCAUAACAGCUGUCCCUUGGCCACCCCUCUGGGUUGGGGUGCGUAUGCCCAAUCAUCUUGGGGACAGGCCCUCAAAGCAGGCUUGGAGCCGUUAGGGCCGGUUCCCUGGAGCUCCACGUGCACCUGUCUUCUCACCCUAUGUGGGGAGUGAUGGUCAGAGGAGGGCCAGAGUGGAACCGCAGCCUCAUGGGGCCCAGGGCAGGCACCUCUCUGGCUCUGGUCUGAGUGAAUCAUUCCAUAUUUCCCAUGUGCAG